UGGGGAAUUUUGGACAAUGGGGGAAACCCUGAUCCAGCCAUCCCGCGUGUGCGAUGAAGGCCUUCGGGUUGUAAAGCACUUUUGGCAGGAAAGAAACGUCGCGGGUUAAUACCCCGCGAAACUGACGGUACCUGCAGAAUAAGCACCGGCUAACUACGUGCCAGCAGCCGCGGUAAUACGUAGGGUGCAAGCGUUAAUCGGAAUUACUGGGCGUAAAGCGUGCGCAGGCGGUUCGGAAAGAAAGAUGUGAAAUCCCAGAGCUUAACUUUGGAACUGCAUUUUUAACUACCGGGCUAGAGUGUGUCAGAGGGAGGUGGAAUUCCGCGUGUAGCAGUGAAAUGCGUAGAUAUGCGGAGGAACACCGAUGGCGAAGGCAGCCUCCUGGGAUAACACUGACGCUCAUGCACGAAAGCGUGGGGAGCAAACAGGAUUAGAUACCCUGGUAGUCCACGCCCUAAACGAUGUCAACUAGCUGUUGGGGCCUUCGGGCCUUGGUAGCGCAGCUAACGCGUGAAGUUGACCGCCUGGGGAGUACGGUCGCAAGAUUAAACUCAAAGGAAUUGACGGGGUCGA
rnacentral:rRNA from 1 species